CCUCGUGUGGCUUUGAAAGGUAAGAUAAAUUUAAUCAUACUUUUACAUUUAUGAUUGGUGCUUAUUCAGUAGAGAAUGUACAGCAUAACGUGCUAUGGAGCACUGUGCAUAAACGUAUAUUAGGCUGUGUGUGUGCAUUCGCUUCCACAUUUCAAGUUAACGUACAUCGUGGCAGCGGUUUACGCUCGAAAUUUUCAAAUUAACAGCUUGGUCUCUAAUAAAUAUGCUUUACCGAAUUAAUAAAACGAGCGAUCUUUUACAAAGCCUCGUUUAUUGCCAUCGUCGACGUGAUUAGCUUCGUUAGCGAGCUAAGUUACUGUACGAACAGUACGAACAGCAGAAGUAUGUGAAGCUGGACUGCAUUUAAGAGAGGUUUAACUUUAUGCAAUUUCACAUCAAAGGUUGUUUUUUUUUUUUCUUACUCCUUUAAAAUAACUAAGAAUUUGAUUAAAAUCUGAUAAAUUCUGUGUAUUGUGUUGUUGCCUCAUUUCUGUAUUUGCCUUUAUCACAUAAUUUUCUGUAGAAGGGGAUGUAUUGAUAAAAUAAAAAUUAUUCAUAUUUACAUUUUGCUUGCAUCAUAAAAAAAAACAUGUUUUCGGAUUCAGACAUUUGUUGUGAAGCAAGAAAGGGCGUCAACUUAAAUAAUUUUUUCUUCUUUUUUCAGUCAUUGAGAAAUUUUGCUUGCCACCUAAUGCAAAAGUUACAUACAAGGAUGCAACAGGGACAGAAGUCGAUGCAGAAAUAUUCAGCGACCUCAUUGGACAAGGCAAUGUGGUGCUGACUGUUUUCUCAAAUGAUGAAUUUUCAGACUCUUUGUCUUCCACAUCUGAGAAGUCUGACAAAGGCAACAGUUCAAGUGCAUCGACUGUAAUCUUUCAUGAGGUCCCUAACAAGAGACAAAGAAAAGAGGACACACCUGCACUGUCUGCAAAACGGGCAACUCCCUACUUAAGCUAUCGGAGAACAGUAUGCUGUUUGCAUAGUGAUACUGUUCCCUCAAAGAUCCAUAUUCCAAGAAAGGCUACGAACACUUUUAUGAUGCUGCAAGCAACAUAGGAUACAUUGCUUGGCAUAUGAAAACAGUCCACAGGAAGAUGAGACGAGGAUCUUUGCCACUAGACAGCCCUCAUGAUGUUUCUCCAGGAGGCCCAAAAUGCCAAAACGCUACUAAUUUUGAAGGGCAACUUGAUGGGAGUGCUUGCAGAGAGGCCAUUUCUUUGCUCAGCCAAACCACAGAGAAUUCCCUAAUAUUGCAAAAGAUGAGAGAGACCUUUCAGCAUCGCCAAGAGCUUAUUAAAGAUCCAGGCUCUAGUGUUGAUAUCCUCUCCACAUUCCCAGGAUUCAUAGAUACAAAAGGCCUGGUUGGUCAAGACUUCACUCUCCUGUUUGACACCGAGACAUCCUCCAGGCUGCUUCAGAAGAGGGACACACUCUUCAGGCCAAAUGUCAUUAAAGACACCAAGCAACUUACUUCAACAGCAGAGAUGAGUCGGUUGUUGCUCUCAGCAGAAUGUCCUGAAGGAAGUGACCUUCAUGAGACAAGUAAGUCGUAUUUGAUUUGCUUGUUUUUACACAUCUGCUAUAUUUGCAGUUACAAUAUAUUUUGUUUUGAUAACUUGCACUACAUAAAAUCUUUAAAAAGACUACA